AGUGAACGCUGGCGGUAGGCCUAACACAUGCAAGUCGAACGGCAGCACAGUAAGAGCUUGCUCUUACGGGUGGCGAGUGGCGGACGGGUGAGGAAUACAUCGGAAUCUACUUUUUCGUGGGGGAUAACGUAGGGAAACUUACGCUAAUACCGCAUACGACCUACGGGUGAAAGCAGGGGAUCUUCGGACCUUGCGCGAUUGAAUGAGCCGAUGUCGGAUUAGCUAGUUGGCGGGGUAAAGGCCCACCAAGGCGACGAUCCGUAGCUGGUCUGAGAGUAUGAUCUGCCACACUGGAACUGAGACACGGUCCAGACUCCUACGGGAGGCAGCAGUGGGGAAUAUUGGACAAUGGGCGCAAGCCUGAUCCAGCCAUACCGCGUGGGUGAAGAAGGCCUUCGGGUUGUAAAGCCCUUUUGUUGGGAAAGAAAAGCAGCAGGUUAAUACCCCGCUGUUCUGACGGUACCCAAAGAAUAAGCACCGGCUAACUUCGUG
rnacentral:rRNA from 1 species